CAGAUUUUUACUGUUUGUACAGAUGACCUUUUGUUUAGAUUGAAUUGUCUCCCCAGAAGUAAGAUUACUGUGAGUCAUGGUGAAUGGACAUUCUCAUUACCCUUGAUGUAAAUUGACAGGGUUUUGGGUGCCUCCCAGCUAUAAUCUUAGCACUUUGGGAGGCUAAGAGAGGAGGAUUGCUUGAGGCCAAGAGUUGGAGGAGGCGGUAUGGCAGUAUGGUGAGACCCUGUCUCCGUUAUUUUAAAAAAUUGACAAGCUUUACCCGGGAAGGCUUAUAUACAAUUUAAACACCCCUCAUAGUAUAAGAAAGUGCCCAUUUCACUGCACCUUUGCCAGCACAGGGUAUUAUAAUUUAGUAAGUCAUUUUUUGUUUGAUUGUUUUAAAUAGAUAAAAGACCUCAUGUUACUUUACUUGUCACAUUUCAACAUCUUUCCUUAGCUUAUUAGCUCUAUCUCUUUUCUAUCUGUAAAUGGUUGUUGUUGUUUUGUUCUUUGAGACAGGGUCUUGCUCUGUCACCAGGCUGGACUGUAGUGGCAUAAUCAUGCCUCGCUGCAGCCUUGACCUCCCAGGCUCAAACUUCAGCAUUCCGAGUAGCUGGGCCUACAAGUGUGCACCACCACUCCCAGCUAACCUUUUUCUUUUUUUGGAUAGAGACAGGGUCUCACUGUGUUGUCCAGACCGGUCUCUAGCUCCUGGCCUUAAGCAAUCCUCCUGCAUUAGCUUCUCAAAUUGCUGGAAUUUCAGGCAUGAGCCACCAUGCCUGGCCUGGGCUAGUCCUGUAUUCUCUAGAGUUCUCUUUACUUUGUGCUAGCCUAUCUCUCAUUAUGCUGUUCACCUGUUAUAAUGAAUAAUUCUCCGUAUUAAAUUUUACCACUUUAAACUUUUGAGUGGUUUAUGCUUCCUGAUUGGACUCUGACUAAUAUGUUAGGAAGGGUCCCGGGAGAUAAACCCACACAGAUGGGAUUGGGGCAUAGGUUUGGUUUCCCAGGGGGCAGUGCUGAGCUCUUUGCCAGUGGGAAAUGGGAUGCUGGUGAUUUCCAGGAAGUGACCUCACAAUGACUCAAGCUACCACUUACUGUUGAUUGUGACGAAAUGCCAGCUGAGGCACAUGCCUUGGGAGCUAAGUGGUUGCUGCCCUUGACCACUAUGAAGACUGGUGUGGGAAGGGUCGCUUUGGAUGCACUUGAGCAGGGGUCCCCAACCCCUGAGCCAUGGAGCCGUAAGGAGCCACACAGCAGGAGGUGAGUGGUGUCCAGUGAGGGAGUGAGGGAAGCUUCGUCUGUAUUUACAGCCACUCCCCUUUGCUCACAUUCCCGCCUGAGCUCCACCUUGUCAGAUCAGCAGCAGCAUUAGAUUCUCAUAGGAGAACGCACCCUGUUGUGAACCGUGCAUGUGAGGGAUCUAGGUUGCGCUGUCCUUAUGAGAAUCUAAUACCUAUUGAUCUGUCACUUUCUCCCAUCACGCUCAGGUGGGACCAUCCAGUUGCAGGAAAACAAGCUUAACACGCCCACUGAUUCUACAUUAUGCUCCUACCUCCCGGCAGCCUCUCCAGGCCCAGAACUCUCUCCAGUCAGCCUCUACAGACCAAGCUCAUGACUCACAAUGGCCUAUUUAGGCCCAUACCCUACCUCACGGCAGUCUCCGCAGAUGAGCCUACUGCCUCACAACAGCCUCCACAGGCACAGCUCCAUCGUUACAAUGGUCUCUUUAGACCCAGCUCCUGCCUCCCAGCCUUCUCUCCAGGCCCUGAACUUUCUCCGUAAGUUCAGGUAGCUGGGACUGUAGGGUCUCCCUCUGUUGUCCAAGGCUGGAGUGUAGUAGUGCUAUCACAGCUGACUGCAGCCUCAACCUUCCAGGCUGAAGCGAUCCUCCCAUCUCAACCUCCCACGUGGCUGAGACUACAGGUGCUUGCCACUAUGCCCAACUAAUAUUUGGAAUUUUCGUAUACGUGGAUUCCAGAGGGGUGACAGCGAAACGUGGGACCAUCCAGUUGCAGGAAAACAAGCUUAACACACCCACUGAUUCUACAUUAUGCUCCUACCUCCCGGCAGCCUCUCCAGGCCCAGAACUCUCUCCAGUCAGCCUCUACAGACCAAGCUCAUGACUCCCAAUGGCCUAUUUAGGCCCAUACCCUACCUCACGGCAGUCUCCGCAGAUGAGCCUACUGCCUCACAACAGCCUCCACAGGCACAGCUCCUCCUGCCUCCCAGUGGCCUCUUUCGGCCCAGCCCAGCUCAUGCCUCCCGGCGGCCUUCCCAGGCCCCGCUUUUGACUUUCGGUGGCCUCUGCAGGCCUCGACAAGGCCCGGCCUCCUGCCUCCCGAAGACCUGCACAGGCCCAGCCUCUGCCUCACAGCGGACUCUCCACGCCCAGCUAGCUCUCGCCUCACUGCGGCCUCCCGAGUCCAAAGCUCCUGCCUCUCGGCCGCUUCGGCAGGCCCAGCUCCCGCCUGCCAGUGGCCUCUUCAGGCCCGUGGGGCUCAUUCCUCACAACAGCCUUUCCAGGCCCAGUUUUUCCCUUGCGGCGGCCUCUCCGGGCAGAGAACAUCCUCAAGUCGGCCUCUCCAGACCCACUUGCACCCUCCGGGCAUCCUCUCCGGGCCCAGCUCCUCUUCCUGGCUGCGUCUCCAGGCCCGACUCCUGCCUCUCAACGACCUCUUUGGACUCAUUGGCUACCCAUCUCCUGGCGGCCUUGGUCGGCCAAAAGCUUCCUCAAGCCAAGCUCCCCAGGCCCAGGUCAGGCCUCACGGUGGCCUCUCCAGGAUGAACUGCUGCCCUCCGAUGGCAUCUGCAGGCCCCAAAUGGUCUCCGGUCGGUGGGCUCCUCCACGCCAAGCUUGGGCCUCCCGGCGACCUCUGCAGGCCCAAGUUGUCCUGAAGUUGGCAUCUCCCGGCCCUGCCUCCCAGCAAGUAAGCAAGCUCUUUUGGCUCAACUCCUGCCCAGCUCCCAACCGCCUUUGUAGGCCCCGAACUUUCUCCAGCCAAGUUCUUUGGGCCUCAUUCCAGCCGCCUGGUGGCCUGUACGGGCCCGGCACUGGUUGGAGAACAGCCUCUGCAGGCCCCGCUCUUGCCUCCCAGGGGCCUCUCCAGGCCCACCUCUUGCCCCCACGGCGGCCUCCCGGGGCCAAGUCCCUGCCUUCCUCCCAGCAGCCCGCGUGCGGCCCAGCUCCUCCCUCACGGUGGCCUGUUGAUGCCCAACUCAUGCCUCUGGCACCCUGCCCAGAGGCAUGAGCCCCUGCCUCACACUGGCUCCUCGCACGCUGAGAGAGGUCAGUGUGAGCCCUUGCCUCACACCGGCCCCUCCCACGCUGAGAGAGGUCAGUGUGAGCCCUUGCCUCACACCGGCCCCUCCCACGCUGAGAGAGGUCAGUGUGAGCCCUUGCCUCACACCGGCCCCUCCCAUGCUGAGAGAGGUCAGGGUGAGCCCUUGCCUCACACCGGCCCCUCCCACGCUGAGAGAGGUCAGCCUGAGCCCCUUGCCCCACACCGGCCCCUCCCACGCUGACAGAGGUCAGCCUGAGCCCCUUGCCUCACACCGGCCCCUCCCAGGCUGACAGAGGUCAGCCUGAGCCCCUUGCCCCACACCGGCCCCUCCCACGCUGACAGAGGUCAGCCUGAGCCCCUUGCCCCACUCCGGCCCCUCCCAGGCUGACAGAGGUCAGCCUGACCCCCUUGCCUCAUACCGGCCCCUCCCAGGCUGACAGAGGUCAGCCUGAGCCCCUAGCCUCACACCAGCCCCUCCCAUGCUGACAGAGGUCAGCGGGAGCCCCUUGCCUCACACCGGCCCCUCCCAGGCUGACAGAGGUCAGCCUGAGCCCCUAGCCUCACACCGGCCCCUCCCAGGCUGACAGAGGUCAGCCUGAGCCCCUAGCCUCACACCAGCCCCUCCCAGGCUGACAGAGGUCAGCGGGAGCCCCUUGCCUCACACCGGCCCCUCCCAGGCUGACAGAGGUCAGCGGGAGCCCCUUGCCUCACACCGGCCCCUCCCAGGCUGACAGAGGUCAGCGUGAGCCCCUUGCCUCACACCGGCCCCUCCCACGCUGAGAGACGUCAGCGUGAGCCCUUGCCUCACACCGGCCCCUCCCACGCUGAGAGAGGUCAGUGUGAGUCCCUUGCCUCACACCGGCCCCUCCCACGCUGAGAGACGUCAGUGUGAGCCCUUGCCUCACACCGGCCCCUCCCACGCUGAGAGACGUCAGUGUGAGCCCUUGCCUCACACCGGCCCCUCCCAUGCUGACAGAGGUCAACCUGAGCCCCUUGCCUCACACCGGCCCCUCCCACGCUGAGAGAGGUCAGUGUGAGCCCUUGCCUCACACCGGCCCCUCCCACGCUGACAGAGGUCAACCUGAGCCCCUUGCCUCACACCAGCCCCUCCCACGCUGAGAGAGGUCAGUGUGAGCCCUUGCCUCACACCGGCCCCUCCCACGCUGAGAGAGGUCAGCGUGAGCCCCUUGCCUCACACCGGCCCCUCCCACGCUGAGAGAGGUCAGUGUGAGCCCUUGCCUCACACCGGCCCCUCCCACGCUGAGAGAGGUCAGUGUGAGCCCCUGCCUCAACAGGCCACCAUGAGGGAGGAGCAGGGUCGCACGCGGCCUGUUGGGAGGCAGGCAGGGACUUGGGCCUGGGCGGUCGCGGUGGGGCGAGAGCUGGGCCUGGAGA